AAUGAAUUAAAUGCUGUAUUGGAAUCUGUUUGAAUCAGUAUAUAUCUUCCUUGGUCUUCUUACCCCCACUUACAUUCUUUAAUAUUCAAAAAUACAGCCCCCCCCAUGGGGGGAUAAGUAAAGUAAACAUCUCUUUCAGUUCUUCAAUUUGAAUUUUUUAUUACUCUGUAACACUUUUGUUUAUGAUGCUAAUUCUUUCCAUCAGGUAUUUAGUCUGUUCGUUAUUAAUGUGUUUCUUGAUGUUGUUUUGUUAUACUUUGUUCUUAUUUUUGUUUAGGUCUUAUUAUGUUACUUCUUUCUUGAGUAUUUUAUAUCUGUGUUCCUACUCAGCAUGGAAAUCUUUAUCUUUAGAAGGCUGUUAAUUUUAAAAAUAUUUAUCUUUUGCUGAAUUGUUUUUGUUCCAGUAGUG
rnacentral:lncRNA from 1 species